rnacentral:rRNA from 1 species
AAACUUUCAACAAUGGAUCUCUUGGUUCUGGCAUCGAUGAAGAACGCAGCGAAAUGCGAUAAGUAAUGUGAAUUGCAGAAUUCAGUGAAUCAUCGAAUCUUUGAACGCACAUUGCGCCCCCUGGUAUUCCGGAGGGCACACCUGUUCGAGCGUCAU